UUAGAAAUAAUCUCAGCUCUGAUAAAGAGCCAUCUCGACUCAAAACUUUAACUUGCUCUUUCUUUGCAGAUCUGUCUCACCCACUGUUGUUUUCAGUCGGAUCUUUUAUACAUUUUGAUUACCGGAAAUUCAGCUCUGAUAGUUCUCCGAACAGCAUGAGGAGGAAAUGUAAUAGCGAGUUUUGAGAAGAUUUGUAGCUCAGGUUGAGGUUCUGGAUGUGAGUUUGCUCGCUGAGCUGGAAGCUGCUGAAGAAGACUUAUAUUGGACUGCCAACUUCGCUUCUGUCUCCACAGAUGCUCCAAACCUAAAGGAGUACCACAGCUAUCCAUGUGAAUCCACAAAGUUCUGUCCAGCGCUUGCUGGGUUUAAUGUGUAGCUUUUGUUGUACACACUACAUUCCACCAAAAUUCCACUUCAGCUGAGGGAGCUAAUAAUUAAGUGGUCGCCUACCUCCAAAAAAAUGCGAAUAUAUAAAAUGUGAUCCAUUCCAAUUCUUGUCCGAAACAAAACUAGGAGAGAUCGUACUCGAGGGUGGGAUUUGUGAUUUUCAGACAUGUCUGCCGUUUUCAUCAUGAUGAAGACACUUAUUUGCAUGGUAACCAUUUGGACCACGGAGUCAAUUCAGAUUCCAGAACAGACGUUUAAAUAAACUCUCCAAGUCCAGACAGUUCAAAAUGUGAAGUCUUACACAGUCACACUAAAUGGGUUAAUUUCUAAUUUGCAAUCUACUGACAGAAACUAGAUAUGUAUGUGUCUGUCUUUUUUUAAAAUGAAUUGUGUUCUGUGUUUGUU